ensembl:piRNA 21ur-5522 ncRNA
UUGGUGCCUACUACUGGAAUC